UGGGGAAUUUUGGACAAUGGGCGCAAGCCUGAUCCAGCAAUGCCGCGUGCAGGAUGAAGGCCUUCGGGUUGUAAACUGCUUUUGUACGGAGCGGAAAGGUCUGCCCUAAUACGGUGGGCUCAUGACGGUACCGUAAGAAUAAGCACCGGCUAACUACGUGCCAGCAGCCGCGGUAAUACGUAGGGUGCGAGCGUUAAUCGGAAUUACUGGGCGUAAAGCGUGCGCAGGCGGUUAUAUAAGACAGAGGUGAAAUCCCCGGGCUCAACCUGGGAACUGCCUUUGUGACUGCAUAGCUAGAGUACGGUAGAGGGGGAUGGAAUUCCGCGUGUAGCAGUGAAAUGCGUAGAUAUGCGGAGGAACACCGAUGGCGAAGGCAAUCCCCUGGACCUGUACUGACGCUCAUGCACGAAAGCGUGGGGAGCAAACA
rnacentral:rRNA from 1 species